UGGGUUGGAAUAUUAAGCAAAUUAAGAAGAGGAGAUGGGUGUCAACAAAAUUAUCAUUGUGUUCUUCAUCAUAUUUGCCUCAGCAACACUCAUUGCAACCACAACCAGUGCUGGUAAAUCAUCCACCUCCCUCUAUCUUUUUUUGUUACCUCCCUCUUAUCUUUUUUUGUCAAUUUUUUCAACAAAUAUAUUAUUAUUUUUUAUAGUUAAAUUUUCAAUCUACAAGCAGCUAGAUAUGUGCACAUUAUGGUAAUUAAUGUCACAUCUACCAAAAUUAUUUUGACAUAUACAUUAUUAUAUAUAUAUAUAUAUAUAUAUAUAUAUUUCAUUUUACUAUUUCAAAUUUUUUGUAUAUUAUGGCAGCAGAUACAAGUGGAAUACCUACGGAGCUUUGCCUUAAUCGACAAUGUACGGUGAAAUUUCUUCCGGAUGAUUGUAAAAAAGCGUGUGUUGCCAAGGGAUACAAGGGGUGUGUGAGUUUGUAGGGAGAGGAUGUUGUUGUAAUAAUUAGACAUGAGAAAUAUUGUAAUAAGCAUCUACUCAUUUUAUAAAUAAAUUGUUACAUAUAUUUAAAAAUAUAUGUAGUCUUUGGAACAAAUAAAGAAUAACUAG
rnacentral:lncRNA from 1 species